rnacentral:rRNA from 1 species
AGUGAGCGCUGGCGGUAGGCCUAACACAUGCAAGUCGAACGGCAGCACAGUAAGAGCUUGCUCUUACGGGUGGCGAGUGGCGGACGGGUGAGGAAUACAUCGGAAUCUACUUUUUCGUGGGGGAUAACGUAGGGAAACUUACGCUAAUACCGCAUACGACCUACGGGUGAAAGCAGGGGAUCUUCGGACCUUGCGCGAUUGAAUGAGCCGAUGUCGGAUUAGCUAGUUGGCGGGGUAAAGGCCCACCAAGGCGACGAUCCGUAGCUGGUCUGAGAGGAUGAUCAGCCACACUGGAACUGAGACACGGUCCAGACUCCUACGGGAGGCAGCAGUGGGGAAUAUUGGACAAUGGGCGCAAGCCUGAUCCAGCCAUACUGCGUGGGUGAAGAAGGCCUUCGGGUUGUAAAGCCCUUUUGUUGGGAAAGAAAAGCAGCAGGUUAAUACCCCGCUGUUCUGACGGUACCCAAAGAAUAAGCACCGGCUAACUUCGUG